rnacentral:piRNA from 1 species
UCUGCCAUCAAGUGGUACAGCAACUGAAU